rnacentral:rRNA from 1 species
UACAGAGGGGGCAAGCGUUGUUCGGAAUUACUGGGCGUAAAGGGCGCGUAGGCGGCCUUCUAAGUCGAACGUGAAAUCCCUGGGCUCAACCCAGGAACUGCGUCCGAUACUGGAAGGCUUGAAUCCGGGAGAGGGAUGCGGAAUUCCAGGUGUAGCGGUGAAAUGCGUAGAUAUCUGGAGGAACACCGGUGGCGAAGGCGGCAUCCUGGACCGGUACUGACGCUGAGGCGCGAAAGCCAGGGGAGCAAACAGG